rnacentral:rRNA from 1 species
UACGAAGGGGGCUAGCGUUGCUCGGAAUUACUGGGCGUAAAGCGCACGUAGGCGGAUUGUUAAGUCGGGGGUGAAAUCCUGGAGCUCAACUCCAGAACUGCCUUCGAUACUGGCGAUCUCGAGUUCGGGAGAGGUGAGUGGAACUGCGAGUGUAGAGGUGAAAUUCGUAGAUAUUCGCAAGAACACCAGUGGCGAAGGCGGCCUCACUGGCCCGAUACUGACGCUGAGGUGCGAAGCGUGGGGAGCAAACAGG